rnacentral:rRNA from 1 species
UAAUAGUGUAUAUUAAAGUUGUUGCAGUUAAAAAGCUCGUAGUUGAAUGUUGGUGUCGAACGAGCGGUCAGCUUCGGCUGUACUGCUCUCUCGACUCCUUCCUUCUGUGGACUACGCCGCACUUUACUGUGUGGCGCUAGGACGCAGAUCGUUUACUGUGAAAAAAUUAGAGUGUUCAAAGCAGGCCGUACGCUUGAAUACAUUAGCAUGGAAUAAUGGAAUAGGACGUCGGGCCUAUUUUGUUGGUUCUAGGACCGUCGUAAUGAUUAAUAGGGACAGUUGGGGCCGUUUAUAUUCCGUAGUCAGAGGUGAAAUUCUUGGAUUUACGGAAGAUAAACUACUGCGAAAGCAUUCGGCAAGGAUGUUUNCGUUAA